rnacentral:rRNA from 1 species
UGGGGAAUAUUGCACAAUGGGCGAAAGCCUGAUGCAGCAACGCCGCGUGAGUGAUGAAGGCCUUCGGGUUGUAAAGCUCUGUCUUCUGGGACGAUAAUGACGGUACCAGAGGAGGAAGCCACGGCUAACUACGUGCCAGCAGCCGCGGUAAUACGUAGGUGGCAAGCGUUGUCCGGAUUUAAUGGGCGUAAAGGAUGCGUAGGCGGAUACUUAAGUCAGAUGUGAAAAUCCCGGGCUUAACUUGGGAACUGCAUUUGAAACUGGGUACCUAGAGUGCGGGAGAGGAAAGUGGAAUUCCUAGUGUAUCGGUGAAAUGCGUAGAGAUUAGGAAGAACACCAGUGGCGAAGGCGACUUUCUGGACCGUAACUGACGCUGAGGCAUGAAAGCGUGGGGAGCAAACA